rnacentral:rRNA from 1 species
AAACUAACAAGGAUUCCCCUAGUAGCGGCGAGCGAAGCGGGAAGAGCUCAAAUUUAUAAUCUGGCACCUUCGGUGUCCGAGUUGUAAUCUCUAGAAGUGUUUUCCGCGUUGGACCGCACACAAGUCUGUUGGAAUACAGCGGCACAGUGGUGAUACCCCCGUACACGGUGCGGACGCCCAGCGCUUUGUGAUACACUUUCAAAGAGUCGAGUUGUUUGGGAAUGCAGCUCAAAUUGGGUGGUAAAUUCCAUCUAAAGCUAAAUAUUGGCGAGAGACCGAUAGCGAACAAGUACCGUGAGGGAAAGAUGAAAAGCACUUUGGAAAGAGAGUUAACAGUACGUGAAAUUGUUGGAAGGGAAACGCUUGAAGUCAGACUUGCUUGCCGGAGCUUGCUUCGGUUUGCAGGCCAGCAUCAGUUUUUCGGGGUGGAUAAUGGCGGUUUGAAGGUAGCAGUCUCGUGCUGUGUUAUAGCUUUCCGCUGGAUACACCCUGGGGGACUGAGGAACGCAGCGUGCUUUUAGCGAAGGUUUCGACCUUUUCACGCUUAGGAUGCUGGUGGAAUGGCUUUAAACGAC